GAUCAUGGCUCAGGAUGAACGCUAGCGGCAGGCUUAACACAUGCAAGUCGAGGGGCAGCGAGAUCAAAGCUUGCUUUGAUUGUCGGCGACCGGCGCACGGGUGCGUAACGCGUAUGCAACCUACCCACUACAGGGGGAUAACACUGAGAAAUCGGUACUAAUACCCCAUAAUAUCUUGGAAGGCAUCUUCUGGGGUUGAAAACUCCGGUGGUAGUGGAUGGGCAUGCGUUGUAUUAGG
rnacentral:rRNA from 1 species